rnacentral:tRNA from 1 species
GGCGGAUAGGGGCACUGGCGUGCCCGGCGGUCUCAUAAACCGUUUCAGGCGGGUUCGAUUCCCGCAUCCGCCA